rnacentral:lncRNA from 1 species
CUCACUAGGCAGCUCUCUAACCACAACACCAUUAUACUAGGCCUUAGGCAGGAUCUUGCCAGUGCCAACAAGAAGAUCAAGGAAUUAGAGCGCCGCUAAGUUAUCUAGAUUAGACCUUGAGGCAAUGCAUCUUAGUCAUCUAUCUUUAAAUUCGGUUUAAGUUUGCUAAUAUCAGUUUACUAUCAAUUUGCUAUCAGUCUUUUGUACUAAAUGCCUCAAGAUCAAUAAAGAGUAUUAUUAUUAUUAUUAUUAUUAUUAUUAUUAUUAUUAUUAUUAUUAUUAUUAUUAUUAUUAUUAUUAUUAUUAUUAUUAUUAUGUCUUGUGUGUCUCUACUUUAUUUUUGUGCAAGAAAGCAGAAAACAAGUAUGGGGGAGAUCCCUUGACAUGCCAAACAGACCACUCCACCACUCAGGUACACACUCUGCACACUUUACUUUAUACAUACAUUUAUUCUGGAUUAUGCAGACUACUGUUUCCGACAUGAUAAAAUAAAAGGAUUAAAAUAUUUCUAAUCAUGAUUAAUCUCAAUCUAUGAUAUUUCCUGAAAACUUGCAAUUAUUAUAAAAUCAUUUUAAAACACUGUGUUACUUAAGUCAAUUGAAAUAUGUGAUGAUAGAGUAUGAGUUUCUUAUUCUUGAUAUCAUUGUUGCUUGGAGAAUUUAUUUCAAAAUAUUCAAAAUUCUAGCUAACAUCCUCAGUGUUUUAUAUGCCUGAUAAAAUUGAAAAUAUUAAUUAUGAUUAUAAAAGCUAUCUGCUCUGUAUUGAGUUUGUUCAAAAUGAGUUAGACCCUUGUUGAGAGAUUUAUCAUGCUCCUAAGAUCAAGACAUUAUUUCAGUAAGAUUCACUCUUCCGAAGUAUUAUUGCAUUAGAGGCAUGGGCUAUGCAAAAAUAGAAAUAUUUCGAGGAAAUAAAAAGGAGCAAGUGCUCGAUAACCUCGCAGAAAAAUGGACAAGUGUCCGGCAGUAGAAUUAGGGGUACCUCAGUAUCCACUUAAAAAAAAGAGAAAAGAAAAAAAAUGAUAGCCCAUGGUCCCUCUAAUAAGCAAUAUGCCAGCAAGAGUUGACAAAGAUUUUAAUUUUCAAAGUCUUUGAUCUAAGAGUAUGACAUUCCCCUCAUCGGAUCCCGUUUUGAUCAGGCAAUAAAUGCAAAGUAAGUAUGCUUGAGAAUUUUUGCAAAAUAAAACAGCCUCAGUAAGAUAUAUAUAAAAGAUAAUGAGUGAUUUGAGAGAACCUAUGAGGAUCAAAAAGGUAUGCUAACUUUCUUUCAAAAAAUAUACAAAAACUCCAAGUGACAGGAUUGAGAAGAAAGAAUCUUUACUCUUGAUCAUAAACAUCCCUGACUAUGGUGCACAGUGGAUUUUUAACACCCUGCAAAUAUAAAGAAUGCUUUAAAAUGUUUUACCCUAGAUAUAGUUCUUAACCAUCCUUUUCUCGAGGACGAGUAAAAGCCUAAGUAUGGGGGUAUUUGUUGACGGUUCUUAAGUAUCAAUUUUAAUUAUCAAAUAAACAAGAGAAAGGACCAAUAUGCAACCAUCACCUAGAAUUAGGGUUUGAUCUGACAGAAUUCCACGAGUUUUGUGGUUUAUCUGUUUCUGCAGGGGGUUAUCAGGAAAUAAGGAAGAAAGGCCCACAUGUCGGGAUUACAUAGAGAUAUCAGCGCACCGCGUAAUUUUACAUCAUCUAGAAGACUCCAGAAGCCACGAGACCGAAGCGGAGGCGAAACUGGGCCAGGCCCAGGGCGCCCGCCCUGGUAGCCUGGGCGCCCGCCCCCCUGUUGGAGCCAAAUCAGGACUCUUUCGCUCGGGAUAUUCCACCGACCUAUCGGAUCAAGAAAAACAUAGUACCACCACGCCUAUCGACCCAAAAACGCAUAGAAGGGGAGGACUAUAUAAGCAAGGCCCCCCUGGCCCCUGGAGAAGACAUGAAGAAAUUAUCAUAGAGACUAAGGGGUGCCCUCGAAGGAAAACCUCUUCUCUAAUUAAUAUUUCUUUUUAGGCUUAGCAACCAAUGUAAGGUAGAAAUAGAUCUUCUAGUUUCUACUAGAUUGAGAGAGAUAGAGUGGAGGUGUAGAGUGGAGGAAGCCCGGCC